UACGUAGGCAGCGAGCGUUGUUCGGAAUUACUGGGCGUAAAGGGUGUGUAGGCGGUGCUCUAAGUUCGGUGUGAAAUCUCCCGGCUUAACUGGGAGGGUGCGCCGGAAACUGGAGUGCUCGAGCGUGGGAGAGGAAAGCGGAAUUCCUGGUGUAGCGGUGAAAUGCGUAGAUAUCAGGAGGAACACCUGCGGUGUAGACGGCUUUCUGGACCAUUGCUGACGCUGAGACACGAAAGCGUGGGUAGCAAACAGG
rnacentral:rRNA from 1 species